UUACAGAAGAUCACAGCAAAAUAAUACUGUUUUCAAGCAGUAUUGUGUUCCUGUUGGUGAGUAAGGUGACCAGAGCUCCUGUGGGGAUUGGGGAUUGGGUCGGCAACGCGCUUGCGAUGCUUCUAGUGUUGCAGGUGUCUAUAAGCUACGGUAAUCGCUUACCAUCAGGUGAGCCGUACACUUGUUUGCCGACCUAGUGACAUAAAAAAAAAAA
rnacentral:misc_RNA from 1 species